rnacentral:lncRNA from 1 species
CAGCUAAUGAAUUGAUACGGGAGAUUGCCACAUUGGAGCUAGAGGUGAAGAAUAUGGAGCAGUAUCUCCUGACACUGUACCGGAAAGCAUUUGAGCAGCAAGCGCCUGCAUUUUCUCCCCCUGAUGCUGCUCCUGCAUUUUCUCCACCUGAUCGACGGGAAGCUUCGAAGAUGUCAGUGAGCUCACGUUCCGGGCAGCUCCGGGAAACGCCCGUGGCAAUGAAGUCUUGCAAGAGCAGAGGGGAUGCAGCGC